ACCAUGUCUCUGUUUGCUUUCAGCUCAGCAUUAUGCAAAUGUCUGAGAAUGUCAGAUGAACAGCAAAACUAUCCAGUGUCAGAAUUCUGUUACAGACUCAGACCAAGGAUCUGCAAAAACUUGCAGUUUCCAAGCAACAGCCAACACAUCUCGACAUCAUGACCCGACACACUGUGAAACCUCUGGAGAGCAAACAUCAGAGCAGCAGAGCCAUGACUGCCUACAGUGAUUCUGUGUCACUAUGAUGGAAACGGGUGAGCGCAGCCGAUAUCGCGGGUGAAAAAUUCAUCGGAAAAUCAAGAAUCUUCUACAAUUGAAGCUGAACUGCACAAACUUACUGCAAAGAAAAUGACAAUAGUGAAAAUCACUCGGGACUCUUCACUGCUGUGGAUCCAGGAUCUCAGUCCAAGGUUGUUUUUUGUGACAGAAGUUGGCAGGCGAAAGAAGACAGGCUCAUAUCAAAAUGCUGGAGGGAGAAAGGAGAGAGGACUUCAGUGAGUGGACAUUGCUUCAACUCAUAACUGAAGCUGCCAAAAAGAAAAUUGCGGAGAUCAGCGUUGAUAUCAUGCCUCUCCAUCAUGCACAUAGACCUCAUUUCCAACAAGUACACCCCA